AUUGAUUUUAUGCUUGCAUAAAUGAUUUUUGGAUUCGGAGCGAGUGGCGAACUGGUGAGUAACACGUGGGUAACCUGCCCCGAAGCGGGGGAUAACAUUUGGAAACAAAUGCUAAUACCGCAUAAUUAGUCAGAACCGCAUGGUUCCGACUUAAAAGAUGGCUCUGCUAUCACUUCGGGAUGGACCCGCGCCGUAUUAGUUAGUUGGUGAGAUAAAAGCCCACCAAGACGAUGAUACGUAGCCGACCUGAGAGGGUAAUCGGCCACAUUGGGACUGAGACACGGCCCAGACUCCUACGGGAGGCAGCAGUAGGGAAUCUUCCACAAUGGACGAAAGUCUGAUGGAGCAACGCCGCGUGAGUGAUGAAGGGUUUCGGCUCGUAAAACUCUGUUGUUAAAGAAGAACAAGCAUGAGAGUAACUGUUCAUGCUUUGACGGUAUUUAACCAGAAAGCCACGGCUAACUACGUGCCAGCAGCCGCGGUAAUACGUAGGUGGCAAGCGUUGUCCGGAUUUAUUGGGCGUAAAGCGAGCGCAGGCGGUUUUGUAAGUCUGCUGUGAAAGCCCUCAGCUCAACUGAGGAAGUGCAGUGGAAACUACAAAACUUGAGUACAGAAGAGGAAAGUGGAACUCCAUGUGUAGCGGUGAAGCGCGUAGAUAUAUGGAAGAACACCAGUGGCGAAGGCGGCUUUCUGGUCUGUUACUGACGCUGAGGCUCGAAAGCAUGGGUAGCGAACAGGAUUAGAUACCCUGGUAGUCCAUGCCGUAAACGAUGAAUACUAGGUGUUGGAGGGUUUCCGCCCUUCAGUGCCGCAGCUAACGCAUUAAGUAUUCCGCCUGGGGAGUACGACCGCAAGGUUGAAACUCAAAGGAAUUGACGGGGGCCCGCACAAGUGGUGGAGCAUGUGGUUUAAUUCGAUGCUACGCGAAGAACCUUACCAGCUCUUGACAUCUUCUGCCAACCUAAGGGAUUAGGCGUUCCCUUCGGGGACAGAAUGACAGGUGGUACAUGGUUGUCGUCAGCUCGUGUCGUGAGAUGUUGGGUUAAGUCCCGCAACGAGCGCAACCCUUAUUAUUAGUUGCCAGCAUUUAGUUGGGCACUCUAGUGAGACUGCCGGUGAUAAA
rnacentral:rRNA from 1 species